rnacentral:rRNA from 1 species
AGCAAGCACCGGCUAACUACGUGCCAGCAGCCGCGGUAAUACGUAGGGUGCGAGCGUUAAUCGGAAUUACUGGGCGUAAAGCGUGCGCAGGCGGCUUUUUAAGACAGGUGUGAAAUCCCCGGGCUUAACCUGGGAAUGGCGCUUGUGACUGGAAGGCUAGAGUGCGGCAGAGGGGGAUGGAAUUCCUGGUGUAGCAGUGAAAUGCGUAGAUAUCAGGAGGAACACCGAUGGCGAAGGCAGUCCCCUGGGUCGACACUGACGCUCAGGCACGAAAGCGUGGGGAGCAAACAGGAUUAGAUACCCUGGUAGUCCACGCCCUAAACGAUGUCAACUAGUUGUUGGGGAAGGAGACUUCUUUAGUAACGUAGCUAACGCGUGAAGUUGACCGCCUGGGGAGUACGGCCGCAAGGUUAAAACUCAAAGGAAUUGACGGGGACCCGCACAAGCGGUGGAUGAUGUGGAUUAAUUCGAUGCAACGCGAAAAACCUUACCUACCCUUGACAUGCCAGGAACUUUCCAGAGAUGGAUUGGUGCCCGAAAGGGAGCCUGGACACAGGUGCUGCAUGGCUGUCGCCAGCUCGUGUCGUGAGAUGUUGGGUUAAGUCCCGCAACGAGCGCAACCCUUGUCAUUAGUUGCUACAUUUAGUUGAGCACUCUAAUGAGACUGCCGGUGACAAGCCGGAGGAAGGUGGGGAUGACGUCAAGUCCUCAUGGCCCUUAUGGGUAGGGCUUCACACGUCAUACAAUGGCGCGUACAGAGGGUUGCCAACCCGCAAGGUGUGAGC